GACAGCCAGGAUGUUGGCUUAGAAGCAGCCAUCAUUUAAAGAAAGCGUAAUAGCUCACUGGUCGAGUCGGCCUGCGCGGAAGAUGUAACGGGGCUAAACCAUGCACCGAAGCUGCGGCAGCGACACUAUGUGUUGUUGGGUAGGGGAGCGUUCUGUAAGCCUGUGAAGGUGUGCUGUGAGGCAUGCUGGAGGUAUCAGAAGUGCGAAUGCUGACAUAAGUAACGAUAAAGCGGGUGAAAAGCCCGCUCGCCGGAAGACCAAGGGUUCCUGUCCAACGUUAAUCGGGGCAGGGUGAGUCGACCCCUAAGGC
rnacentral:rRNA from 1 species